rnacentral:rRNA from 1 species
GUACACUCCUGCGGGAGGCAGCAGUGGGGAAUUUUGGACAAUGGGGGCAACCCUGAUCCAGCAAUGCCGCGUGAGUGAAGAAGGCCUUCGGGUUGUAAAGCUCUUUUGUCAGGGAAGAAACGGUGGUGGCGAAUAACUACUACUAAUGACGGUACCUGAAGAAUAAGCACCGGCUAACUACGUGCCAGCAGCCGCGGUAAUACGUAGGGUGCAAGCGUUAAUCGGAAUUACUGGGCGUAAAGCGUGCGCAGGCGGUUGUGUAAGUCAGAUGUGAAAUCCCCGGGCUCAACCUGGGAAUUGCAUUUGAGACUGCACGGCUAGAGUGUGUCAGAGGGGGGUAGAAUUCCACGUGUAGCAGUGAAAUGCGUAGAUAUGUGGAGGAAUACCGAUGGCGAAGGCAGCCCCCUGGGAUAACACUGACGCUCAUGCACGAAAGCGUGGGGAGCAAACAGGAUUAGAUACCCCAGUAGUCCCA